AAUAUAUAGGCAAUGUGCCCCCUAGAGAGGGAUAGCCAUUGGAAACGAUGAUUAAUACCUCAUACUCCUUCUUAUCAUAAGAUAAGUUGGGAAAGUUUUUUCGCUAGGGGAUCGGCCUAUAUCGCAUCAGUUAGUUGGUGGGGUAACGGCCUACCAAGACAAUGACGCGUAGCGGGUUUGAGAGGAUGAUCCGCCACACUGGUACUGAGACACGGACCAGACUCCUACGGGAGGCAGCAGUGAGGAAUAUUGCACAAUGGGGGCAACCCUGAUGCAGCAACGCCGCGUGGAGGAUGACGCAUUUCGGUGUGUAAACUCCUUUUAUAUGCCAAGAAAAUGACGGUAGCAUAUGAAUAAGCACCGGCUAACUCCGUGCCAGCAGCCGCGGUAAUACGGAGGGUGCGAGCGUUAUUCGGAAUCACUGGGCGUAAAGGACGCGUAGGCGGGUU
rnacentral:rRNA from 1 species